rnacentral:rRNA from 1 species
UACAGAGGGUGCAAGCGUUGUUCGGAAUUAUUGGGCGUAAAGCGCACGCAGGUGGCUGAGUCAGUCGAUUGUGAAAGCCCUGGGCUUAACCUAGGAAUUGCAGUCGAUACUACUCAGCUAGAGUAUGGGAGAGGGCAGUGGAAUUCCCGGUGUAGCGGUGAAAUGCGUAGAUAUCGGGAGGAACAUCAGUGGCGAAGGAGGCUGCCUGGCCCAAUACUGACACUCAGGUGCGACAGCGUGGGGAGCAAACAGG